AAUCCAUAGGUUAAUGAGGCGAACCGGGGGAACUGAAACAUCUAAGUACCCCGAGGAAAAGAAAUCAACCGAGAUUCCCCCAGUAGCGGCGAGCGAACGGGGAGGAGCCCAGAGCCUGAAUCAGCAUGUGUGUUAGUGGAAGCGUCUGGAAAGGCGCGCGAUACAGGGUGACAGCCCCGUACACAAAAGCGCAUGUGCUGUGAGCUCGAUGAGUAGGGCGGGACACGUGGUAUCCUGUCUGAAUAUGGGGGGACCAUCCUCCAAGGCUAAAUACUCCUGACUGACCGAUAGUGAACCAGUACCGUGAGGGAAAGGCGAAAAGAACCCCGGCGAGGGGAGUGAAAAAGAACCUGAAACCGUGUACGUACAAGCAGUGGGAGCCCCACCACCAAAGCAUUCUCUGGUGUUGAAGGCCCUGCAAAGCAGCAUCGCGGUGGCGGAGCGUCGUUUGCGACGCCCAACACACAAAACAAGCGGUGAAU
rnacentral:rRNA from 1 species